rnacentral:rRNA from 1 species
GGAAUAUUGCGCAAUGGGGGCAACCCUGACGCAGCCAUGCCGCGUGAAUGAAGAAGGCCUUCGGGUUGUAAAGUUCUUUCGGUAGUGAGGAAGGUGGUUAGUUUAAUAGGCUAGCCAAUUGACGUUAACUACAGAAGAAGCACCGGCUAACUCCGUGCCAGCAGCCGCGGUAAUACGGAGGGUGCGAGCGUUAAUCGGAAUAACUGGGCGUAAAGGGCACGCAGGCGGACUUUUAAGUGAGGUGUGAAAGCCCCGGGCUUAACCUGGGAAUUGCAUUUCAGACUGGGAGUCUAGAGUACUUUAGGGAGGGGUAGAAUUCCACGUGUAGCGGUGAAAUGCGUAGAGAUGUGGAGGAAUACCGAAGGCGAAGGCAGCCCCUUGGGAAUGUACUGACGCUCAUGUGCGAAAGCGUGGGGAGCAAAC